rnacentral:rRNA from 1 species
AUUGAACGCUGGCGGCAGGCCUAACACAUGCAAGUCGAACGAGCGGCGGACGGGUGAGUAAUGUAUGGGAAACUGCCCGAUGGAGGGGGAUAACUACUGGAAACGGUAGCUAAUACCGCAUACCAUCGGAUGUGCCCAGAUGGGAUUAGCUAGUAGGUGGGGUAAAGGCUCCCCUAGGCGACGAUCCCUAGCUGGUCUGAGAGGAUGACCGGCCCCACUGGAACUGAGACACGGUCCAGACUCCUACGGGAGGCAGCAGUGGGGAAUAUUGCACAAUGGGCGCCAGCCUGAUGCAGCCAUGCCGCGUGUAUGAAGAAGGCCUUCGGGUUGUAAAGUACUUUCAGCGGGGAGGCGUUACCCGCAGAAGACGCACCGGCUAACUCCGUGCCAGCCGCCGCGGUAAUAC